UUGAACGCUGGCGGCAGGCCUAACACUUGCAAGUCGAACGGUAACAGGAAACAGCUUGCUGUUUCGCUGACGAGUGGCGGACGGGUGAGUAAUGUCUGGGAAACUGCCUGAUGGAGGGGGAUAACUACUGGAAACGGUAGCUAAUACCGCAUAACGUCGCAAGACCAAAGAGGGGGACCUUCGGGCCUCUUGCCAUCGGAUGUGCCCAGAUGGGAUUAGCUAGUAGGUGGGGUAACGGCUCACCUAGGCGACGAUCCCUAGCUGGUCUGAGAGGAUGACCAGCCACACUGGAACUGAGACACGGUCCAGACUCCUACGGGAGGCAGCAGUGGGGAAUAUUGCACAAUGGGCGCAAGCCUGAUGCAGCCAUGCCGCGUGUAUGAAGAAGGCCUUCGGGUUGUAAAGUACUUUCAGCGGGGAGGAAGGGAGUAAAGUUAAUACCUUUGCUCAUUGACGUUACCCGCAGAAGAAGCACCGGCUAACUCCGUG
rnacentral:rRNA from 1 species